UACGGGGGGGGGCAAGCGUUGUUCGGAAUUACUGGGCGUAAAGGGCUCGUAGGUGGCCAACUAAGUCAGACGUGAAAUCCCUCGGCUUAACCGGGGAACUGCGUCUGAUACUGGAUGGCUUGAGUUCGGGAGAGGGAUGCGGAAUUCCGAGUGUAGAGGUGAAAUUCGUAGAUAUUCGGAGGAACACCAGUGGCGAAGGCGGCUCACUGGCUCGGUACUGACGCUGAGGUGCGAAAGCGUGGGGAGCAAACAGG
rnacentral:rRNA from 1 species